rnacentral:rRNA from 1 species
ACGCUUCUCCUAAAGACUAAGCCAUGCAUGCCCUCGAAUAAGAGGAAGCAAUUCUCUCUGAAUCUGCGAACGGCUCCGCACACCAGUUGUAAACUAUAGCAAGCAUGUCAGGCGUUCGGCUCUCACGGGCUGGGCGUCGGGCGAUAAGGAUAACCCUGGUAAUUCUGAGGCUAAUACAAGAGCGUAAUCCCUGGCUGACCGGGUAACUGGGAGGCCGGGGGGCGUGCUAUUUGGUCGCAAGGAUGACCGGGAAAGGAAGCACGUUCUGACCGCGAUAAAAACGGACCGGUUUACUGGUACGAGCGGCUCUUGCGAUGUGCUUCUGACCUAUCAACUAGAUGGCAGCGUAACGGACAUGCUAUGGUUGCAACGGGUACAGAGGAUUAGGGUUCGAUCCUGGAGAGUGGGCCUGAGAGAUUGCUCAUACUUCUAAGGAAGGCAGCAGGCGCGCAACGUUCCCCUUGGACAAUGUCCGAGGGCGUUAGGGGAAAUAUGAAUGCUUGCCAUUGGUAGGCAAUUCAAAUGGGUCUGUUCUAAACAGCCUC